rnacentral:rRNA from 1 species
GACGAACGCUGGCGGCGUGCUUAACACAUGCAAGUCGAACGGUGAAGCGCCUUCCUUUUUGGUGGGUGUGGAUGAGUGGCGAACGGGUGAGUAACACGUGAGUAACCUGCCCCCUUCUUCUGGAUAACCGCAUGAAAGUGUGGCUAAUACGGGAUAUUCUGGGUCUGUCGCAUGAUGGGUCUGGGAAAGAUAUUGUUUCGGUGGGGGAUGGGCUCGCGGUCUAUCAGCUUGUUGGUGGGGUGAUGGCCUACCAAGGCGGUGACGGGUAGCCGGCCUGAGAGGGUGGACGGUCACACUGGGACUGAGACACGGCCCAGACUCCUACGAGAGGCAGCAGUGGGGAAUAUUGCACAAUGGGCGCAAGCCUGAUGCAGCGACGCCGCGUGAGGGAUGGAGGCCUUCGGGUUGUGAACCUCUUUCGCCAGUGAAGCAGGCCUGCCUCGUUUGUGGGUGGGUUGACGGUAGCUGGAUAAGAAGCGCCGGCUAACUACGUG